UUUCUCCUGUAAGGCCUCCAUCCGCAUCUUUUCUCCUUCCCCUCUCUCUCAGAUCCAACAUGGAGGUCGACCGGGAGAAGCACGGCGGCUCGCCAGUCACAGCCAGAGAAGAAGCGUUAGGGUUUGGGAUUGGGUGCGGCGUGGGAAUUGGAGAAGGGAUGGCCGCCGCUGGCAGUCGGCACCAUGGGCGGCUCCAAGCAAAACCCUAGCUUCAUGCAUCCCAGCCCCACACCUCUUCUCCUCGCGUUAUCACUCUUCUCCUCAUGUUGUCAUCACACAACAUGGCACCCCCACCUACUCUGCUGUAGGAGAAGAUGAUGUUGGCAAUCUCCAUGGAAGGCAUUGAGGUGCUCACAUGGAUGGAUCUUUCCAUCAUCGAUCUGGAUUCCAUCACCGUCCUGGCCGGCGAGGACUUCGACGUCCUCAGGUAAAUACAAGCGCUUGCCUCACGGUCUAUUCCAAUUUGCCACAAAAAUUUGCUCAUCGUUCAAUAUUUAGUAUGUGGUGGUCUUAGUUGUGCUAAUUUUUUUCUUCACCGUGCGAGCAUUUGUGGUAGGAAUUUUUAGAUUUCGUGCAUUAUCAAUCUACGCCAGUUUUUCCCCAUCGUGAUUGGUAUGCUUCUGCUACUAUUCAAAAUUGGUACUCAUGCAUCAUGUUGUGGUUGCAAAAAUAAUCUGAUCAGCAUGGUGUUGAUUUGUUCAAUUAUCAGUGCUUUUAGAUUUCGGUUUUGCGGUGUCAAUCUGUUUGUAUAUACUUAGAUUUGGCUAAUGCUAAUAGAAUAUGAUAUCAAAUCUAUCUAUCCUGUGCUGGUUUGAUGUGAGCAUCUACAAACAUUUUGUGUUGACUUACUUUAUGUGUGCCUAUGUGUUAAUGGAGCCUAUGAGUUCCUAUUUUUUUCUAGUGAGGAAGUCUGGAACUUGUAGGUGUUAAGUUUUUUAUCCAAUGGGUUUAAAACUCUAAAUAUUUGAAUUUCUAUGCUCAAAGUUCUGAAUUUCUGAAUGUUGAGAUGUAGUUUCGAGCCUAAUUUAUUUUUGUGCAUCACUGACACCUCUAAAUGUUUAGAUAAAGUUGAUUGGUGCAUAAAUAUUGGAUAAAAUCUUGGUUGAGUGUUAUUUUCUCCAUUGAAGUUAUGCAACACAUACUAAAAGCGCAAUUGCAGUGAUUUUAAUCAUCUCUAGUUCAUAGAAAAAGGACUUUUGCUAAAUGGAAACUACUUGCUAGUUACACUUCUUGUUUUAUAGGUACUAAAAACAUUGAAAAUAAUACCGGAGGAAUAUUUUGUAUGCAAUUUAAAAGUUUUUAGUGUCUUAGUAAUAAGGUUUUGGCAUACAACCUAAGAGUUUUCGAUAUAUAUAUCUUAAAAGUUUUUGUAUUCGCAACACAAUGUUUCCUAUCUAUCACUUGAAAGUUAGAGAAUUACAAAGUUUUCAUAAAGUAUUAGAUCUAAUAGUACAAAGUAUUAAUUAUGUGAGUACAAAGCAUUAGAUUUGUUGGUACAAAGUUUAAAAUGUGCUAGUACAAAGUCCAUAAAUUUGGAGUUCAAAGUUUAAAAUUACUAAAUUUGGGAUAUGAAGUGCAAAGUUUAUAAUACGCCAGUAUAAAGUUCCCAUAUUCAGAGUGCAAAGUUUUGGAUCUAGGAGUAAAAUGCUUGAAUGUGCAAAUAACGGGAUGUAGAAAGAAUUGUGAAUUUUGACCUUUGAAAUUUGAAUAUGUAGUUUUAUAAAAGUUGAUUGAAAGACGGGAUGUAGAAAGAAUCAUGUAUGUGAUUUGAAAGUUUUUAAAAUUUGAGUAUGAAGUUCUAAAUAUGUAAAUUGAAAGCUAUGGAGGUAGAAAGUUGAGUGUAUGCAGUUUCUAAGUUUCUGAUAUCUAAUUACGAAGUUUUGAAUAUUUGAAUUGAAAGUUAGAAGAUAUAAAGUUUUGAAUAUGUGAGAUAAAAUAUUUUCUAAUCUAAUUAUAAGUUUUGUAUAUGGAACUUACAAGUUUGAAAGUAGAGGAUAUAUAAAACCUUUAUUAUUUGUGAAUUGGAAGUUUUUGGAAACAUAAUACAAAGUUUAGGAUAUGAUUUUCCAAAGGUUUAUAAAUAUAGGUAUAAAACUAUGUUGGUUUAAAUGUGUAAAUAGUGAAGAUGAGCUAUAAAUAUUGCCCACAAAUGGAGUAACUUUGUUCAUGCCGCUGACAGUGUGGAUAUAUGUAUAUUUCCAGUCAGCUUUAUGACUAGUCAGGUCACAUACCAUGAACAUAUCUCUGUGCUUGCGAUAGAUUGCUUGUAAGCAAGGAAAAAAGAUUUUUGCAAGAUGGUAUUGAUAAGUAGAAAAGCAGGUUUCCUACCUAUAUUCUCACCUUAUGUUUUAUUAAUUGAUUCUUACUAUCUGUUGACUCAUCAUUUAAUGAGAAGUAUGAUACUCUUGUAGAUAAAAAAAUUAAAUAUUUAUGUAAGUUAUUAUUUUUUUAAUCCCCCCUUUAGGAUCUAAGAGCAUGAAGUAUUGAAUCUGAGAGUACAAAGUAUUAGAUAUGAGAUGACAAGUUGGAAAUGUGCCAUUACAAAGUUCCAGAUUUUUGGAGUGCAAAGUUUCAAAUUACAAAAUUUAGGAUAUGAGAGUACACAGUUUAUGACAUGCUAGUAUAAAGUUCCUAAAUCCAUGGCACAAAGUUUGGGAUUUGUUUUAGUAGAAGUUUAUGACAUACCUAUACAGAGUUUUGUAGCUGAGAAUACAAAUUUUCGAAUAUGCCAGUAUAAAGCUAUUGAUUUUUCAGUGCUAUAAUGCAUUUUUUGAUGCACCUGAUAUAUAUUUAUUUUGAUUUCGCAUUCUUUUUCCCUGAUUACGCAGAGUUUUAGUAGCAGUCUGAAGCUGUUAGUUAACCUACAUAAUGGAUAUCAGAGAUGUUUGAUAUACAAAGUUAUAUAUAGAAUAUCACUGAGGAAUGGACUUUCUCUAUGUGUCUGCUGAAAACAUGCUCGUCUUUCAUACAGAAAAUGGACUCAUACAGAAAAUAGACAAACAGCUUGUCUUUAUGCUUAACAUGGCGAUAAUCUUAUUUUUCUUUUUAUUUUCUUACUAUUUAUUUUAUGAUAUUCAAUUUUAAUAUAAAAAAGUUUCGCA